rnacentral:rRNA from 1 species
UAACAAGGUCUCCGUUGGUGAACCAGCGGAGGGAUCAUUAAAGAGUUUAAACAACUCCCAAACCCAUGUGAACUUACCUUCUGUUGCCUCGGCAGGUCGCCUUCGACUACCCCGCGAGAGCCUACCCGGUAGGACCUCCCUUUCCCGGUAAGAGAUUACCUGGUAAAGGGCCUACCCUGGAGACCCUCACCCGGUAAGAGAGGCGGUGCAAGCCUGCCGGUGGCCCAUACACCAAAAUUCUGUCUAACGUGGUUAUUCUGAAAAUGGUUAUAACGAAAUGAGUUAAAACUUUUAACAACGGAUCUCUUGGUUCUGGCAUCGAUGAAGAACGCAGCGAAAUGCGAUAAGUAAUGUGAAUUGCAGAAUUCAGUGAAUCAUCGAAUCUUUGAACGCACAUUGCGCCCAUUAGUAUUCUAGUGGGCAUGCCUGUUCGAGCGUCAUUUCAACCCUUAAGCCUCUGUCGCUUAGUGUUGGGAGCCUACUUACGGCCUUUGGCCUUGUAGCUCCUCAAAGUUAGUGGCGGAGUCGGCUUUCAUACUCUAGACGUAGUAGAUUCUAUCUCGCCUAUAGAUGAGCCGGCCUCUCGCCGUAAAACCCCCUUUAUCUUUUUAUAAGGUUGACCUCGGAUCAGGUAGGAAUACCCGCUGAACUUAAGCA